CUAGCGACUUCUAGAGUUUGAUCCUGGCUCAGGAUGAACGCUGGCGGCGUGCUUAACACAUGCAAGUCGAACGGACUUUACAUGAAGCCUAGCGAUUGUAAAGUUAGUGGCGGACGGGUGAGUAACGCGUGGGUAACCUGCCUUACACUGGGGGAUAACACUUAGAAAUAGGUGCUAAUACCGCAUAAGCGCACAGUUUCGCAUGAAACAGUGUGAAAAACUCCGGUGGUGUAAGAUGGACCCGCGUCUGAUUAGCUAGUUGGUGAGGUAACGGCCCACCAAGGCGACGAUCAGUAGCCGGCCUGAGAGGGUGAACGGCCACAUUGGGACUGAGACACGGCCCAA
rnacentral:rRNA from 1 species